UGAUGUAAACAGAUGCAGUUGACCUGAAAGGCAGAAAUCAGAAUGUUGGAAUUUCCACAAAAACCAUCUUGAGAUGGGGCGGGUAGCUGCAGUUGUAUCCCCAUCGUUGCUAUAAAGCAUUGUGGACCACGUUAUCCCUUGCUUACACACUGCACCUAUACACCUGUGCUAAAUGGGCUCUUCCUGAACAAAAGUGCAUAUUUUUUGCUACAGAAGCAUUUUAAAUGACAUGAUAUGAUGCUGUACACCUUAUUCCUUCUCUUCUAAAGCAAUAAUUGUACACUACCAUGUGGCUCAGACACAGCUCUGCUGACACCUGCAAAUUGUUUUCAGUGUGGUUGGUAUGGGGCACUCCAGGAGAAUUGGAUUUGGAACGUGGAGUUUGGAGGUUGGGACUCGGAGUACUGUGUCCUAGUCACAAAGAGAGGCAGAGACGCAGAGGGGACUGUCGGCUGGUGCAGGCGGAACCAAAAGAUAUUUAA
rnacentral:lncRNA from 1 species